rnacentral:rRNA from 1 species
AUUGAACGCUGGCGGCAUGCCUUACACAUGCAAGUCGAACGGUAACAGGUCUUCGGAUGCUGACGAGUGGCGAACGGGUGAGUAAUACAUCGGAACGUGCCUAGUAGUGGGGGAUAACUACUCGAAAGAGUGGCUAAUACCGCAUGAGAUCUACGGAUGAAAGCAGGGGAUCGCAAGACCUUGUGCUACUAGAGCGGCCGAUGGCAGAUUAGGUAGUUGGUGGGAUAAAGCUUACCUAGCCGACGAUCUGUAGCUGGUCUGAGAGGACGAUCAGCCACACUGGGACUGAGACACGGCCCAGACUCCUACGGGAGGCGGCAGUGGGGAAUUUUGGACAAUGGGCGAAAGCCUGAUCCAGCAAUGCCGCGUGCAGGAUGAAGGCCUUCGGGUUGUAAACUGCUUUUGUACGGAACGAAAAGCCCUGGGUUGAUACCCUGGGGUCAUGACGGUACCGUAAGAAUAAGCACCGGCUAACUACGUGCCAGCCGCCGCCGUAA